UUCCGGUUGAUCCCGCCGGAGGCUACCGCUAUUGGAGUUCGAUUAAGCCAUGCGAGUCGCGAGAAAUUAGAUUCUCGGCGUACCGCUCAGUAACACGUGGGUAACCUGCCCUAUGCUGGAUAAUAACCUCGGGAAACUGAGAAUAAUGAUCCAUAGUUCACUACGCCUGGAACGGUGAGUGGAUGAAAGCUCCGGCGGCAUAGGAUGGGCCUGCGGCGUAUCAGGUUGUAGGGGGUGUAACGUACCCUCUAGCCCUCUACGCGUACGGGUGUUGGGAGACAUAGCCCGGAGAUGGAUUCUGAGACACGAAUCCAGACCCUACGGGGUGCAGCAGGCGCGAAAACUUGGCAAUGCGAGAAAUCGUGACCAGGGAACUCCAAGUGCAUGGGGUAAGACCCAUGCUUUUCUUGACUCUAAAUAGGUCUUGGAAUAAGGGGUGGGUAAGGACGGUGCCAGCCGCCGCGGUAAUACCGGCGCCUCAAGUGGUAGUCGCUUUUAUUGGGCCUAAAACGUCCGUAGCCGGUCUGAUACAUUCGUGGGUAAAUCAACCAGCUUAACUGGUUGAAUUCUGCGAGGACGGUCAGACUUGGGACCGGGAGAGGUGUGGGGUACGCUCAGGGUAGGGGUAAAAUCCUGUCAUCCUGAGCGGACCACCUGUUGCGAAGGCGCCACACUAGAACGGAUCCGACGGUCAGGGACGAAGCCUAGGGGCACGAACCGGAUUAGAUACCCGGGUAGUCCUAGGUGUAAACGCUGUGGACUUGAUGUUGGGGGUGCUCCGAGCACUCUCAGUGUCGAAGCGAAGGUGAUAAGUCCACUGCCUGGGAAGUACGGUCGCAAGGCUGAAACUUAAAGGAAUUGGCGGGGGAGCACCGCAACCUGAGGAUUGUGCGGUUUAAUUGGAUUCAACGCCGGA
rnacentral:rRNA from 1 species